AGAGUUUGAUCCUGGCUCAGGACGAACGCUGGCGGCGUGCCUAAUACAUGCAAGUCGUGCGGACCUUUUAAAAGCUUGCUUUUAAAAGGUUAGCGGCGGACGGGUGAGUAACACGUGGGCAACCUGCCUGUAAGAUCGGGAUAACGCCGGGAAACCGGGGCUAAUACCGGAUAGUUUUUUCCUCCGCAUGGAGGAAAAAGGAAAGGCGGCUUCGGCUGCCACUUACAGAUGGGCCCGCGGCGCAUUAGCUAGUUGGCGGGGUAAUGGCCCACCAAGGCAACGAUGCGUAGCCGACCUGAGAGGGUGAUCGGCCACAUUGGGACUGAGACACGGCCCAAACUCCUACGGGAGGCAGCAGUAGGGAAUCUUCCGCAAUGGACGAAAGUCUGACGGAGCAACGCCGCGUGAGUGAAGAAGGCCUUCGGGUCGUAAAACUCUGUUGCCGGGGAAGAACAAGUGCCGUUCGAACAGGGCGGCGCCUUGACGGUACCCGGCCAGAAAGCCACGGCUAACUACGUGCCAGCAGCCGCGGUAAUACGUAGGUGGCAAGCGUUGUCCGGAAUUAUUGGGCGUAAAGCGCGCGCAGGCGGCUUCUUAAGUCUGAUGUGAAAUCUUGCGGCUCAACCGCAAGCGGUCAUUGGAAACUGGGAGGCUUGAGUGCAGAAGAGGAGAGUGGAAUUCCACGUGUAGCGGUGAAAUGCGUAGAGAUGUGGAGGAACACCAGUGGCGAAGGCGGCUCUCUGGUCUGUAACUGACGCUGAGGCGCGAAAGCGUGGGGAGCAAACAGGAUUAGAUACCCUGGUAGUCCACGCCGUAAACGAUGAGUGCUAAGUGUUAGAGGGUUUCCGCCCUUUAGUGCUGCAGCUAACGCAUUAAGCACUCCGCCUGGGGAGUACGGCCGCAAGGCUGAAACUCAAAGGAAUUGACGGGGGCCCGCACAAGCGGUGGAGCAUGUGGUUUAAUUCGAAGCAACGCGAAGAACCUUACCAGGUCUUGACAUCCUCUGACCUCCCUGGAGACAGGGCCUUCCCCUUCGGGGGACAGAGUGACAGGUGGUGCAUGGUUGUCGUCAGCUCGUGUCGUGAGAUGUUGGGUUAAGUCCCGCAACGAGCGCAACCC
rnacentral:rRNA from 1 species